GCAAUUAUACCGCGAAACUGCGAAUGGCUCAUUAAAUCAGUUAUCGUCUAUUUGAUAGUACCUUACUACUUGGAUAACCGUGGUAAUUCUAGAGCUAAUACAUGCUGAAAACCCCGACUUCGGAAGGGAUGUAUUUAUUAGAUUAAAAGCCAACGCCCUUCGGGGCUCCCUGGUGAUUCAUGAUAACUGCUCGAAUCGCACGGCCUUGCGCCGGCGAUGGUUCAUUCAAAUUUCUGCCCUAUCAACUUUCGACGGCUGGGUCUUGGCCAGCCGUGGUGACAACGGGUAACGGAGGGUUAGGGCUCGACCCCGGAGAAGGAGCCUGAGAAACGGCUACUACAUCCAAGGAAGGCAGCAGGCGCGCAAAUUACCCAAUCCCGACGCGGGGAGGUAGUGACAAUAAAUACUGAUACAGGGCUCUUUUGGGUCUUGUAAUUGGAAUGAGUACAAUUUAAUUCCCUUAACGAGGAACAAUUGGAGGGCAAGUCUGGUGCCAGCAGCCGCGGUAAUUCCAGCUCCAAUAGCGUAUAUUAAAGUUGUUGCAGUUAAAAAGCUCGUAGUUGAACCUUGGGCCUGGCUGGCCGGUCCGCCUCACCGCGUGCACUGGUCCGGCCGGGCCUUUCCCUCUGGGGAGCCGCAUGCCCUUCACUGGGCGUGCCGGGGAACCAGGACUUUUACUUUGAAAAAAUUAGAGUGUUCAAAGCAGGCUUAUGCUCGGAUACAUUAGCAUGGAAUAAUAGAAUAGGACGCGUGGUUCUAUUUUGUUGGUUUCUAGGACCGCCGUAAUGAUUAAUAGGGACAGUCGGGGGCAUCAGUAUUCAGUUGCGAGAGGUGAAAUUCUUGGACCAACUGAAGACUAACUACUGCGAAAGCAUUUGCCAAGGAUGUUUUCAUUAAUCAGGAACGAAAGUUAGGGGAUCGAAGACGAUCAGAUACCGUCGUAGUCUUAACCAUAAACUAUGCCGACUAGGGAUCGGGCGGUGUUAUCUUUUGACCCGCUCGGCACCUUGCACGAAAGUACAAG
rnacentral:rRNA from 2 species